GAGAUUGUUUUAAGUGCGGCAAGCCAGGUCACUUUGCUAGGGAGUGUCCUAGUGAGGGAGGAGCUAGAGGUGGUAAAUAUGGUGGCAGAGAUGACCGUUAUGGUGGUGGUGGUAGAGAUGACCGUUAUGGUGGUGGUGGCAGAGAUGACCGAUAUGGUGGCGGCAAAAGUGGCGGUGGCGGUGGUUAUGGCCCUGACCGGAAUGGAGAUCGAAAUGGAGGACGUAGCAGGGAAGAUGG
rnacentral:lncRNA from 1 species